GAUGAACGCUGGCGGCGUGCCUAAUACAUGCAAGUCGAGCGAACGAACGCGUUGCUUGCUUCUGUGAUGUUAUCGGCGGACAAGGGAGUAGUAAGUGGUUAACCUACCUAUACGACUGUGUUAACAUCGGGAAACCAGAGCUACUACCGGGUAAUAUUUUGAACCUCUUGGUUGAAGAGUGAAGGACGGUCUUGCUGUCGCUUAUAGAUGGAUCCGCGGUGCAUUAGCUAGUUGGUAAGGUAACGGCUUACCAAGGCGGCGAUGAAUAGCCGACCUGAGAGGGUGGUCGGCCACAAUGGAACUGCUGCGAGGUCCAGACUCCUACGGGAGGCAGCAGUAGGGAAUCUUCCGGCACGGUCGAAAGACGGAUGGUGCAACGACGCGGGGGGGAUGAAGGUCGUCGGAUCGUAAAAAUCCGCUAUUAGGGAAGAAGAAAUGUGUAAGUGACUGUGCAUAUCUUGACGGUAGCUAAUCAGAAAGCCACGGCUAACUACGUG
rnacentral:rRNA from 1 species